AGAGUUUGAUCAUGGCUCAGGAUGAACGCUAGCGGCAGGCCUAAUACAUGCAAGUCGAACGGUCUCUAGCAAUAGGGAUAGUGGCGCACGGGUGCGUAACGCGUAACCAACCUACCUGGAUCUGGGGGGAUAGCCCGCCGAAAGGCGGAUUAAUACCGCAUAAGACCAUAGCUCGGCAUCGGGUAGUGGUUAAAGAUUAAUUGGAUUCAGAUGGGGUUGCGUAGCAUUAGCUAGAUGGCGGGGUAAGGGCCCACCAUGGCGACGAUGCUUAGGGGACCUGAGAGGGUGAUCCCCCACACUGGCACUGAGAUACGGGCCAGACUCCUACGGGAGGCAGCAGUAGGGAAUAUUGGGCAAUGGGCGAGAGCCUGACCCAGCCAUGCCGCGUGCCGGAUGAAGGCCUUCUGGGUUGUAAACGGCUUUUCUCAGGGAAGAAAAAGGGUAUGCGUACUCAACUGACGGUACCUGAGGAAUAAGCACCGGCUAACUCCGUGCCAGCAGCCGCGGUAAUACGGAGGGUGCAAGCGUUGUCCGGAUUUAUUGGGUUUAAAGGGUGCGUAGGUGGCCUUGUAAGUCCGUGGUGAAAGCCUCCUGCUCAACAGGAGAACUGCCAUGGAUACUGCCGGGCUUGAGUGUAGACGAGGGUGGCGGAAUAGAGGCUGUAGCGGUGAAAUGCAUAGAUAGCCUCUAGAACUCCGAUUGCGUAGGCAGCUGCCUAGACUACAACUGACACUGAGGCACGAAAGCGUGGGGAGCGAACAGGAUUAGAUACCCUAGUAGUCC
rnacentral:rRNA from 1 species